rnacentral:rRNA from 1 species
GACGAACGCUGGCGGCGCGCCUAACACAUGCAAGUCGAGCGAUGAAAUUUUAACCGAUCUCUUCGGAGAGAAGAUAAAAUGGAUUAGCGGCGGACGGGUGAGUAACACGUGAGAAACCUGCCUUUCACAAGGGGAUAGCCUCGGGAAACCGGGAUUAAUACCCUAUGACACAUUUCCUUCGCAUGGAAGAAAUGUUAAAACUCCGGUGGUGAAAGAUGGUCUCGCGCCUGAUUAGCUAGUUGGUGGGGUAACGGCCCACCAAGGCCAUGAUCAGUAGCCGGCCUGAGAGGGUGAACGGUCACAUUGGAACUGAGACACGGUCCAAACUCCUACGGGAGGCAGCAGUGGGGAAUAUUGCACAAUGGAGGAAACUCUGAUGCAGCGACGCCGCGUGAGCGAUGAAGGCUUUCGAGUCGUAAAGCUCUGUCCUAUGGGAAGAUAAUGACGGUACCAUAGGAGGAAGCCCCGGCUAACUACGUG